ensembl:lncRNA
CACAGAAAGGAUUUAAUAAUUAAUGUCCUCAAAAUCAAGCCCAGGGUAAAUGCAACAGUAAGUUUCAAUAUCAAUCUAUCCUUGAGGUAGAUUAGAUUUCAGAUCAAAUUCUCUUUUCCUCCUUGUAACUGCUCUCCUUUCUACCUCUGCCUGGAGACUUAGCAGUGCCUCCCACCAGAGCAGGCAGAAGGUAUAUCUCACUCCACCCUCUGACAUCAGCUCCCUCAUGGAACUUCCUUUGGCCAAUGAGCUUAGAGCAGAGUCCGCCUGAGCUGUGUCUAGCCAGAGGGUUUAAAUGCGCUUGUGUGAUUUGGCUUGGCCUUUUGGGCUUCAGCUUCCACCAUGGGAAAAUCUGAAGACACAUGGAACAGUCUGGAACCUAAAACGAAGCCUGGAGUCCAGCUGAGAUCAGCUAAGUGAAUGAGUCUCAUGAGAUCUGAUGGCUUUAAAAACGGAAGUUUCUCUGCAGAAGCUAUCUCUUUGCCUGCUGCCAGCCAUGUAAGAUGUGACUUGCUCCUCCCAGCCUUCUGCCAUGAUUGUGAGGCCUCCCCAGCCAUGUGGAACUGCCAAAUUUCUAGAAGUGAAAUUUCAGAAGCAAAAACCUUAGCCUUUGGUAGCUGCAACUACAUUGCCUUCUACAGUUGUUAUUUGUAAUUCUCCCAGCAGUAUAAGGGAGCACAUGUUAUCCGGAUCCUCUCUGGUUUUGAAAAAGCUAUUCUUUUUCUGUCUGGUGGACAGGAAAUGGCAUCUCACCCUCACUUUGAUUUGAUGGAUUAACAUUUUCAUCAUCGAGGUAGGUGAAGACAAGGUAGGUGUUGAUCAAGUUUAUCCAAUAGCAAUCUGGGUAGCUGGAUCAAAGUCUCAGCAUGUUGGCUAAUGCAGAAUGUAAUAAAAAGGCAUUUAGAAGGGAUCAGCACAAUGUCUCAUAAGGUAGGUUCCAAUGCUCAGCAGGUCAAGUUCGAGAAGGGGUGGUGGCCAAGCAACAGUGUGCAUGGAACUAACUUGGAGGUUCCAAGUACAGCCAGGGUGGGAUCAGGUUCCUAAAUUAGCUCACAUAAGCGUAUGCUGCCCAGGACAAGGGGAGUCCAGGGUCACACUGCGAGUUUGGAGGAAAGGUCAACUCUCUUUUGCUGAGGGUCUGGAGCAAGGCUAGACAUAGUUUUGGACAUAUUAUGGGGACAUUUUGGACCCAUCUCCUGUUCUAAUGAACAUCUACAAUGAAUUCUAGAAUAGUGGGUGAGUACUUGAAUGACAAACUUAGAAAUUCUGUGAUUGUUAAAGUUCUCCAAGGUUAAGGGGGAGGAAAAAGCACCGAGGCCGAUGGGUGUUUCCUGGAGCAAGCAACAAUAUUUUUCACUAUAGGGGAAGAAUAAUUUUUUUAAAAAGUGGUUACAAUACAUAAUCGUAUGAUCAUUACCACAAUCAACAUGUAGAAUAGUUCCAUCACACCCCUAAAUUUCCUUGCUUCCCAUUAUAGACAAUCUGUUCCCCCAGUUCCAAUCCCUGGCAACCACUGAUGUGUUUUCUGUCCCUUUCAUAUUUUCCAGAGUGGAAAAAUAAAUGGAACAAUCCAGUAUCCUGUAUGGUCUGCUAUCUGCUACUGGUUUCACUCAGCACUGGAUACUUGUUGACCAUGUGGCUAUGUAUCAGUAGCUCAUUUUCUUGUAUUGCAGAGUAAUAUCUUAUGGGACAGAGUGCCACACAGUUCAUGUAUCCGUUCAUCCCUCGAAGAACAUGUGGGCUGUUUCAAAUUUUGGUGAUUAUAAAUAAAGCUGCUAUACA